rnacentral:rRNA from 1 species
UAGACCGCCUGGGGAGUACGGCCGCAAGGUUAAAACUCAAAUGAAUUGACGGGGGCCCGCACAAGCGGUGGAGCAUGUGGUUUAAUUCGAUGCAACGCGAAGAACCUUACCUGGUCUUGACAUCCACGGAAGAAUUCAGAGAUGGAUUUGUGCCUUCGGGAACCGUGAGACAGGUGCUGCAUGGCUGUCGUCAGCUCGUGUUGUGAAAUGUUGGGUUAAGUCCCGCAACGAGCGCAACCCUUAUCCUUUGUUGCCAGCGAUUAGGUCGGGAACUCAAAGGAGACUGCCAGUGAUAAACUGGAGGAAGGUGGGGAUGACGUCAAGUCAUCAUGGCCCUUACGACCAGGGCUACACACGUGCUACAAUGGCGCAUACAAAGAGAAGCGACCUCGCGAGAGCAAGCGGACCUCAUAAAGUGCGUCGUAGUCCGGAUUGGAGUCUGCAACUCGACUCCAUGAAGUCGGAAUCGCUAGUAAUCGUGGAUCAGAAUGCCACGGUGAAUACGUUCCCGGGCCUUGUACACACCGCCCGUCACACCAUGGGAGUGGGUUGCAAAAGAAGUAGGUAGCUUAACCUUCGGGAGGGCGCUUACCACUUUGUGAUUCAUGACUGGGGUGAAGUCGUAACAAGGUAACCGUAGGGGAACCUGCGGUUGGAUCACCUCCUUACCUUAAAGAAGC